rnacentral:rRNA from 1 species
CCUACGGGUGCAGCAGUGAGGAAUAUUGGUCAAUGGGCGGAAGCCUGAACCAGCCAAGUCGCGUGAGGGAUUAAGGCCCUGCGGGUCGUAAACCUCUUUUGCCGGGGAGCAGAGGUCCGGACGUGUCCGGGCCGGGAGAGUACCCGGAGAAAAAGCAUCGGCUAACUCCGUGCCAGCAGCCGCGGUAAUACGGAGGAUGCGAGCGUUAUCCGGAUUUAUUGGGUGUAAAGGGCGUGUAGGCGGGAAUGCAAGUCAGAUGUGAAAACUCAGGGCUCAACCCUGAGCCUGCAUUUGAAACGGUGUUUCGUGAGUGCUGGAGAGGCGAUCGGAAUUACGUGUGUAGCGGUGAAAUGCGGAGAUAUACGGAGGAACACCAGUGGCGAAGGCGGAUUGCUGGACAGUAACUGACGCUGAGGCGCGAAAGCGUGGGGAGCAAACAGGAUUAGAUACCCGAGUAGUC